CCAAAGGCUCUUUUCAGAGCCACCUACUAUUUCUACAGAAGAGCUG
rfam:Equus caballus chromosome 20, whole genome shotgun sequence.